UUUCCGUAGGUGAACCUGCGGAGGGAUCAUUACAGAGUUCAUGCCCUAACGGGUAGAUCUCCCACCCUAUGUUAUCAUCACUUUGUUGCUUUGGCGGGCCGUCAGGCCUCGGCUUGGCUACCGGCUCUCGCUGGUAAGCGCCCGCCAGAGAACCCCAAACCCUGAAUAUCAGUGUCGUCUGAGUACUAUAUAAUAGUUAAAACUUUCAACAACGGAUCUCUUGGUUCUG
rnacentral:misc_RNA from 1 species